AACGAACGCUGGCGGCAUGCCUAACACAUGCAAGUCGAACGAGACCUUCGGGUCUAGUGGCGCACGGGUGCGUAACGCGUGGGAAUCUGCCCUUGGGUUCGGAAUAACAGUUGGAAACGACUGCUAAUAUCGGAUGAUGACGUAAGUCCAAAGAUUUAUCGCCCAAGGAUGAGCCCGCGUAGGAUUAGCUAGUUGGUGAGGUAAAGGCUCACCAAGGCGACGAUCCUUAGCUGGUCUGAGAGGAUGAUCAGCCACACUGGGACUGAGACACGGCCCAGACUCCUACGGGAGGCAGCAGUGGGGAAUAUUGGACAAUGGGCGAAAGCCUGAUCCAGCAAUGCCGCGUGAGUGAUGAAGGCCUUAGGGUUGUAAAGCUCUUUUACCCGGGAUGAUAAUGACAGUACCGGGAGAAUAAGCUCCGGCUAACUCCGUG
rnacentral:rRNA from 1 species